AAUAUUAGUUAAGAGCUUUAAACCCAAAGAAUUUGGCGGUAUCUUAUUCCAUUCAGAGGAACCUAUCCCAUAAUUGAUAAUACACGAUUAACUUUACUUAAUUUAUUUGUUUGUAUAUCUCCGUUAUCAGAGGAUCUUUUUAGAGUUAUAAUUUUCUAAAUUUAUAAAUAUGCAGUAUUUCAGGUCAAGGUGCAGCUUAAUAAUUAAGAGGAGAUGGGUUACAAUAAAUUUAAUUUAAACGGAUUUAGUAAUAAAAAAUUAUUAAUGAAGGUGGAUUUGAUAGUAAUUUAAUUUAUUUAAUUUAAUUGAUAUU
rnacentral:rRNA from 1 species